rnacentral:lncRNA from 1 species
GACUACCAUCCUUUUCUUUGGCUAAGCCGGGUAGGGGCAACACUGAGUUUGUUGUGGUCUUGUAGAUGUGUUGAUAUGUGUUAUAUCUCGUUAUUGGUUAAUUUUCCUUUCACUUAGUUUCAACAAGUGAAUGUUCCCUCUCAGUUCCCCCACAAUUUUAAAAUUGGCAAUAUACAUAUAGGAAGAAAAAGACUCGAUCUUUUCCCCUCCUCCCAGCCUCACCGGCGCCGGCGAGUCGCCCACCGGAUCCAGCCGCCAUGGAGUCCGGAGCGCCUCACGCGUUGCCCUGCCCCGUCGACGACGACGACGAUUUCUACUGGGACGCCGAGGCCGAGGCGGAGCUCCAGGCCAUCGAGGCCGCCCACGNNNNN